rnacentral:rRNA from 1 species
GACGAACGCUGGCGGCGUGCUUAACACAUGCAAGUCGAACGGUAAGGCUCCAGCUUGCUGGGGUACACGAGUGGCGAACGGGUGAGUAACACGUGGGUGACCUGCCCUGCACUUCGGGAUAAGCCUGGGAAACUGGGUCUAAUACCGGAUAGGACCAUGGUGUGGAUACUGUGGUGGAAAGUUUUUUCGGUGUGGGAUGGGGCCGCGGCCUAUCUGGUUGUUGGUGGGGUAAUGGCCUACCAAGGCGGCGACGGGUAGCCGGCCUGAGAGGGUGGGCGGCCAAAUUGGGAAUGAGAAAAGGCCCAGACUCCUACGGGAGGCAGGAGUGGGGAAUAGUGCAAAAUGGGCGGAAGCCUUAUGCAGCCACGCCGGGUGGGGGAUGACGGCCUUCGGGUUGUAAACCUCUUUCGCCCGUGACGAAGGGUGUGUGAGGGUAAGGUGUAAAGAAGGAACGGCUAAAUAAGUG